UUGAUUCAAGUAUCGAAUGUGUGUAUACAUCAAACAUUUCGAUUUGUAUUUCAUAAUUUCAACCUACAUUUUUUAUUAGCACUCAAAAUAUAUUUACUUUUAGAAUUAAAUCGUGAUAUCUCUAUUAUACUAGUGAGAAUUUAGACUAGUUUUAGAAGAAUAUUAAAGAAAUAAAGCUAGUUUUAUUGCUUUUAGUUAUAGCCAGGAAAGGAGCAUAUAAGAAGUUAACGGUUUUUGGUUAUACACAGAUUGUACACUCGUAUCAGUGACAAAAGUGAACAAAAUGAACUUCUCAACUAUCCUAUACACUAUUUCGGCAGCUGCCAUGCUGUUAAUCUCUGUCGCUGCAGCUCUGACAGAUUCUGAAUUGAAGAAUUUCCUAGCUGUUGGUCAGUACUAAUUUUUUUAAAAAAAAUAUAUCAUAAUUACAUUAUGUUUUGAAUUCUAUAUUACAGUUUCUAAUUUUUCUUUAAUUUUUUAAAUCAACAAGUGUGCUCAAAAAAAAUAUUUUUUUCUGAAAAGCCUGACGAAAUUUCACUUUUAUUAAUAUUAAUCGAUACAUUAAAAUCCUUGUAAGUUUUAUUGAGAAGUAAAAAUGAGUUCCACAAAACGAAAGCUAGUUGUUAGCAUUUCUUAUAGUUUUUAAUAAUUCCUUAGAAAGUAAACAAUAAAAAACUAUGGUAACUAUUAAAUUUUAAGUAGUGAUUGAUGCAAAAGUAGCAAUUUAUACAAAAACGGUACAAAAAAAUUAGAAAUGAUUAAAAAUUGUUCUCAUAAUUUAUUUAGGACAUAAAUGAAAACUCUUAUAAUUGAAUUUACCAUUUACAUUAAAAUUCAAGUAACCCUCUACUGAUAUUUAUUUUUAUCAUUUUAUUGAUAGCUGAAAGAUUUUUCUCAUUUUAUAAGAAUUCAUGAAGGCUUGUUUAAAAACUAGAUGGCGUUGUCUGAUCGGAAUAAUCUAAACCGUAGGUUCCCAAAAGGUGUUUCGAGAGCUAGGACUUUUUUUUCAAAC